rnacentral:lncRNA from 1 species
CGUGGCUGAUUUCUAAGCAUCACUCCUUGUGAAGACCAGGAAGGAAUGUUUUUGCACUCUCACCCUGACUAAAGUGGUCCUCAAGUCAGUCUAGGGUCUGAAGCAUUGAGGACACUCGGGAGGAGUCGUCAGAGGGUCUCAGAGGAAUCUAGCUCAGAAGGAGAGGUUGAGGCAAUCAAGAUGGUUCAUCUCUAUAAAGAGAAGGCUGAGGGGAUACCAAAUGUCUUUCUUUAAAUACCUGAAAUUGUUCUUGAGAGCGACUGGUGAAUAUGCCACUUAAAACCUUGGAUCAAGGACUUUUCUCAGGCACGAGGAAGCACUCCCUCCUCCGGACGGAUGCAAGCACUGGCAUGGAGCCCGCAGGGGACCUGGCUGCCUCUAAGACGUGGUGAGUACGGGGACAGGCCCCAGCUCUGCUGGCUGACCAGGCACAGCCCUACCAUGGAGUGGGUGGACGAGAUGGCCUCCCAUCGGGGCCUGGGAAUCACCUCCUCUGCUGGCCCAGCAGGUUCUCUCCCAUGCUGCUGCUGUGAAAAGAACUACGUACAGACCUAAGAAGCUUAGCAAUAACUUAGUAGGAUAAAUACAAAGAAAACCUGUGCCUAUGCAGAUUACGUGAAAAACCGAAGAUGAAGAUCAAAUCUCGGAAAGCAUAAGCAAAUAAACCUAAAGAGGGCUGGCAAUAUGCAUGCCAGUGACUUCUCAUCAGAAACAAUGAAGGCCAAAAGAUAAUAGAGCAACCCUUAAAAGGGCUGAAAGAAAAAAACAAAAAUGAUGCUAACCCAGAAUUUUGCAUCCAAUAAACAUAUCGCACAAAUAUGGCUACAAAAAUAAAGAUAAAUCUUACAACCAGAAGUUGUAAGAUUUUGUUUCCAGCAGAUCAUCAGUGAAAGAAAUACCAAAGGAUGUGUUUGGGGCUGAAGG